CAACCCUCAAGCAAUGCUUGGUAUUGGGCCCCGCUGCUUACCUAGCGGGCCUUAAAAUCAGUGGCGGUGCCGCCAGGCCCUGAGCGCAGUAAAUAUCCUCGCUACAGGGACUCGGUGGACGCUGGCCAUCAACCCCAACUCUCUAA
rnacentral:misc_RNA from 1 species